AAAACUUUACUGUAAAUUUACAGGUAAUUUCUAACAGUAUUAUACUGUAUUUUCAUAAAACAGUAACAUUCUGUAUAUUUUACAGAAUGUCUGUAAAUAUACAGUAGUUUUCUGUUUUCAGCCCGUUUCACUCGUAAUACAGUAUAAUACUGUAGAAGCAUUGCAUUAUGGGAUUGAUUUUUUUACCGUGCUCAUUUCAAAUUUCUAGGCCAGGCAUACAUUUUAGCUUCUCUCUCAACGCUUUUAGUGUUUCACGUCGACUCUUCAGGGUUUAAUGUUAUCAUUAAACGAUAUUUGAGUGAAUAUAGUGUGCAGUUUUAAGCUUUUGAAGCGUCAGUUUGCCUGAGACGCGGGAUGACUGGACAGCGCUGCUGAGAUGUUAUUUUCUGCCUGAUUAAUCAAAACGUUUGCCUGUGUCGAGAAGACGGAUAAACAAUUGUUCGGCUGAGAAUACGUCUCAAUCAUCUGAUGUAGCUCCAUUGUUUACGCUCUUUGACAUAUCCCCUAAACAUGGCUCAAGAACCAGGAAGGGGGGAAAAUGACCUUCUGUGAAAUAUGGUUAUGUUAACGUACUUUGACAUCAACCAUGAACACGGCUCAAGAAACAAGAAGGGAAAGUGACUUCCAAGACUGGCAACACUGUACAAAAAAGGAGCAGUACUGAAAAACUUGUAGGCCUACUUUUUGUUUUUACUCCACAUUUGAAAAAAUGUUAAAUGUAAAUAAGAUUGCUGUAUUGUUCAUUGAUAACUGCUGAGUGCAUUUAAAAUGUUGACCUUUCAACAUUGCAAUUUUCUGCUUUUUUCCAUAAAAAAAUAAUAAAAGUUUUAAAACUCAGAGUGUUGCUUUCCAUUUCCUUUGCCAUAACAUAACAAAAGUAUAUUUUUUAAUUAUUUAAUGACAAAUAUAAGUGUAGUAUGAAAAGCUGUAUAAAUGCAGUUAAUAGCUGUAGAUAAACAGUAUAAUGCUGUAAAAGUACAUAAUAUUACAGCAGGAUACUGUAUUUGAUAAUUACAGCACUAUACUGUAAAAGUUGU